GGUGGAGGGGUGUAGUGGCAGGAAGUGCGCCAUCAUACACGCACGAUUACGGGUUCGAUUCCCAUCUUGGCCA
rnacentral:tRNA from 1 species